rnacentral:rRNA from 1 species
UAAUACGGAGGGUGCAAGCGUUAAUCGGAAUUACUGGGCGUAAAGCGCACGCAGGCGGUUGGAUAAGUUAGAUGUGAAAGCCCCGGGCUCAACCUGGGAAUUGCAUUUAAAACUGUCCAGCUAGAGUCUUGUAGAGGGGGGUAGAAUUCCAGGUGUAGCGGUGAAAUGCGUAGAGAUCUGGAGGAAUACCGGUGGCGAAGGCGGCCCCCUGGACAAAGACUGACGCUCAGGUGCGAAAGCGUGGGGAGCAAACAGG